CCCCUCCCCAAAAUACAGUCCGUGGAAAAAUUGUUUUCCAUGAAACCAGCCCUUGGUGUCAAAAGGGUUGGGAACUGCUGGUGUAUAUGUAGCACAUUUUCUUUACUCAGUCCACUGUUGAUGGGCACCUAGGCUGAUUCUGUAUCUUUACUAUUGUGAAUAGUGCUGCGAUGAACAUGCAAGUGCAUCUGUCUUUUUAGUAGAAAGAUUUGUGUUUUUUU
rnacentral:lncRNA from 10 species